CAAUAGGCUAUGCAGCUGACGUCGGGGAGUGCACAGGCCACCGCUCAGGUUGUUUCCUUGAGCCUACUUGCUCACUCCGACGCUGGAAAGACCGCCGACGACGGUCAACGCAUACACACACAGAUGAACCUAAUCGAAACGCAGAGCUGAUGCAUCAACAUGGAUAAGUACGAGUAUAGGGGGGGGGGCGGACGAGGUAUAGCCAUCGCCCAUACGUUUGCUUAGCGGAUACAUGUUACCCGCGAGCGUAGCGAAGACGCCGCGCGGUUUGUCCACCCUAAUUAUGGCGGAAUGGUGAUGAGCGCCUGCGACCAGCACGGCGCGCCAGCAAUACACGUCACGCUGUUUGCAUCCCUGCACCUCUCCACACCCGGUCGCACAAUAUUUGGUGAGCUGGAUACCCCUCUCUUGACGACUUCUCUACUUGGGUUUGCGAGGAGUUUUCCUCCUCUCCCCGCAGGGCUUACGUCUGCUGGUGACCUUCAUUCUCAUCGUUUCAUCAUCUCGUAAGAGGUGCGCGCGAACAGAGAGGCUUUGCACGGGGGUUUUAAGAACAGCCUGCCUUUCUGUGGCUGGCAAGCCGAUCGGCAGCGAUCCGAUGAUGUGACGGACAGAGAUGAGGACAAGUCCGAGAGCCUCCUCUCUGAUGGGGGCGGCGUGGCGUGGUGGAGGUGCUUGCCCCGCUGGCCCUUGGCUUUGGCUUUCCUUUUGCUUGUGCGCCACCCCAUUGCCUGCAACUUUCCUCCCCCUGUUUUCUCGACGUUUCCCCCGCUCCCCACCCAUGCGUCUCUCUCUCUCCGGUUAUCCUCUCAAG
rnacentral:misc_RNA from 1 species